rnacentral:rRNA from 1 species
GGACAUUGUUAAACCUUUUGUAAUUGCAGUCAGCGUCAGAAAAAACUUAAUAGUUACAACUUUCAACAACGGAUCUCUUGGUUCUGGCAUCGAUGAAGAACGCAGCGAAAUGCGAUAAGUAGUGUGAAUUGCAGAAUUCAGUGAAUCAUCGAAUCUUUGAACGCACAUUGCGCCCCUUGGUAUUCCAUGGGGCAUGCCUGUUCGAGCGUCAUUUGUACCCUCAAGCUCUGCUUGGUGUUGGGCGUUUGUCUCCCCUGGGAGACUCGCCUCAAAACAAUUGGCAGCCGGCAUAUUGGUAUCGGAGCGCAGCACAAGUCGCGCUUCUGUCCAUGAAUGUCGGCGUCCAGCAAGACCAUUUUUCACUCUUGACCUCGGAUCAGGUAGGGAUACCCGCUGAAC